rnacentral:lncRNA from 1 species
AGAUGCUGCAAUUUAGCAUUCAUUCCUAAGCCUGAAUUCCUAUCAUCCCUAUAGUGGUUCACAGCACAAAUAAAAAUAUCUGGAAUUAAAUUCAUGCUCUUGAGCUGAGAUAGCUUGAAGAAAGCCACCAAGGAGGUUGGAAGAAAACACUACCCUCUCAUUUACAAAAAGAUGAGGCAUCUUCGCGAAAGCUGCAGUUCCUUAAAGAGGCCCUCCAUUUUAUCCCUGACAGCUCCGGAAGUACCCAGGAACUGCUCUCCCUCAGGAUCUCCAGGAAAGUCGCCAGCAUUUCAGCAUCACUGUCAUGACUUUUGUUCCCUUGGCAGAAUAUACAAGCAUUCUUACUGCCAUAGAGUUCGUAAAUAUCCCAGGGAAGAUUCUUCCUGACCCUGAUUGGAUCACCUGACCUCCUAUUUGGAUCUAUCACCACGGUCAGAAAAAUGGAAUGUAUUGAUUGGCCUUGU